rnacentral:rRNA from 1 species
GACGAACGCUGGCGGCAUGCUUAACACAUGCAAGUCGAACGGAAAGGCCCUGCUUUUGUGGGGUGCUCGAGUGGCGAACGGGUGAGUAACACGUGAGUAACCUGCCCUUGACUUUGGGAUAACUUCAGGAAACUGGGGCUAAUACCGGAUAGGAGCUCCUGCUGCAUGGUGGGGGUUGGAAAGUUUCGGCGGUUGGGGAUGGACUCGCGGCUUAUCAGCUUGUUGGUGGGGUAGUGGCUUACCAAGGCUUUGACGGGUAGCCGGCCUGAGAGGGUGACCGGCCACAUUGGGACUGAGAUACGGCCCAGACUCCUACGGGAGGCAGCAGUGGGGAAUAUUGCACAAUGGGCGGAAGCCUGAUGCAGCAACGCCGCGUGCGGGAUGACGGCCUUCGGGUUGUAAACCGCUUUCGCCUGUGACGAAGCGUGAGUGACGGUAAUGGGUAAAGAAGCACCGGCUAACUACGUGCCAGCAGCCGCGGUGAUACGUAGGGUGCGAGCGUUGUCCGGAUUUAUUGGGCGUAAAGGGCUCGUAGGUGGUUGAUCGCGUCGGAAGUGUAAUCUUGGGGCUUAACCCUGAGCGUGCUUUCGAUACGGGUUGACUUGAGGAAGGUAGGGGAGAAUGGAAUUCCUGGUGGAGCGGUGGAAUGCGCAGAUAUCAGGAGGAACACCAGUGGCGAAGGCGGUUCUCUGGGCCUUUCCUGACGCUGAGGAGCGAAAGCGUGGGGAGCGAACAGGCUUAGAUACCCUGGUAGUCCACGCUGUAAACGGUGGGUACUAGGUGUGGGGUCCAUUCCACGGGUUCCGUGCCGUAGCUAACGCUUUAAGUACCCCGCCUGGGGAGUACGGCCGCAAGGCUAAAACUCAAAGGAAUUGACGGGGCCCCGCACAAGCGGCGGAGCAUGCGGAUUAAUUCGAUGCAACGCGUAGAACCUUACCUGGGUUUGACAUGGAUCGGGAGUGCUCAGAGAUGGGUGUGCCUCUUUUGGGGUCGGUUCACAGGUGGUGCAUGGCUGUCGUCAGCUCGUGUCGUGAGAUGUUGGGUUAAGUCCCGCAACGAGCGCAACCCUUGUUCACUGUUGCCAGCACGUUAUGGUGGGGACUCAGUGGAGACCGCCGGGGUCAACUCGGAGGAAGGUGGGGAUGACGUCAAGUCAUCAUGCCCCUUAUGUCCAGGGCUUCACGCAUGCUACAAUGGCUGGUACAGAGAGUGGCGAGCCUGUGAGGGUGAGCGAAUCUCGGAAAGCCGGUCUCAGUUCGGAUUGGGGUCUGCAACUCGACCUCAUGAAGUCGGAGUCGCUAGUAAUCGCAGAUCAGCAACGCUGCGGUGAAUACGUUCCCGGGGCUUGUACACACCGCCCGUCAAGUCAUGAAAGUUGGUAACACCCGAAGCCGGUGGAAUAACCGUUGUGGGGGAGCCGUCGAAGGU